rnacentral:rRNA from 1 species
UAGGGAAUAUUGGGCAAUGGACGCAAGUCUGACCCAGCCAUGCCGCGUGCAGGAUGAAGGCGUUAUGCGUUGUAAACUGCUUUUAUACAGGAAGAAACGACUCUUGCGAGAGGCAUUGACGGUACUGUAUGAAUAAGCACCGGCUAACUCCGUGCCAGCAGCCGCGGUAAUACGGAGGGUGCAAGCGUUAUCCGGAUUCACUGGGUUUAAAGGGUGCGUAGGCGGGCAGGUAAGUCAGUGGUGAAAUCCUGGAGCUCAACUCCAGAACUGCCAUUGAUACUAUCUGUCUUGAAUAUUGUGGAGGUAAGCGGAAUAUGUCAUGUAGCGGUGAAAUGCUUAGAUAUGACAUAGAACACCCAUUGCGAAGGCAGCUUACUACGCAUAUAUUGACGCUGAGGCACGAAAGCGUGGGGAUCAAACAGGAUUAGAUACCCUGGUAGUCCACGCCCUAAACGAUGGAUACUCGACAUACGCGAUACACUGUGUGUGUCUGAGCGAAAGCAUUAAGUAUCCCACCUGGGAAGUACGUUCGCAAGAAUG